AGAUUGAACGCUAGCGGCAUGCCUAACACAUGCAAGUCGAACGGUAACAGGCCCUUCGGGGUGCUGACGAGUGGCGGACGGGUGAGUAAUGCGUAGGAAUCUACCCACGAGUGGGGGAUAGCCCGGAGAAAUCCGGAUUAAUACCGCAUAUGCCCUACGGGGUAAAGCGGGGGACCGAAAGGCCUCGCGCAGCAGGAUGAGCCGAUGUCCGAUUAGCUGGUUGGUGGGGUAACGGCCCGACCAACGGCGACGAUCGGUAGCUGGUCUGAGAGGAUGAUCAGCCGACACUGGGACUGAGACACGGACCCAGACUCCUACGGGCGGCAGC
rnacentral:rRNA from 1 species